rnacentral:rRNA from 1 species
GACGAACGCUGGCGGCGUGCUUAACACAUGCAAGUCGAACGGUAAGGCCCUUCGGGUACACGAGUGGCGAACGGGUGAGUAACACGUGGGUGAUCUGCCCUGCACUUCGGGAUAAGCCUGGGAAACUGGGUCUAAUACCGGAUAGGACCCUGGGAUGCAUGUCCUGGGGUGGAAAGCUUUUGCGGUGUGGGAUGGGCCCGCGGCCUAUCAGCUUGUUGGUGGGGUGAUGGCCUACCAAGGCGACGACGGGGAGCCGGCCUGAGAGGGUGACCGGCCACACUGGGACUGAGAUACGGCCCAGACUCCUACGGGAGGCAGCAGUGGGGAAUAUUGCACAAUGGGCGCAAGCCUGAUGCAGCGACGCCGCGUGAGGGAUGACGACCUUCGGGUUGUAAACCUCUUUCAGCACCGACGAAGCGCAAGUGACGGUAGGUGCAGAAGAAGGACCGGCCAACUACGUGCCAGCCGCCGCCGUAA